GAUGAACGCUGGCGGCGUGCCUAAUACAUGCAAGUCGAGCGAAUGGAUUAAGAGCUUGCUCCUAUGAAGUUAGCGGCGGACGGGUGAGUAACACGUGGGUAACCUGCCCAUAAGACUGGGAUAACUCCGGGAAACCGGGGCUAAUACCGAAUAACAUUUUGAACCGCAUGGUUCGAAAUUGAAAGGCGGCUUCGGCUGUCACUUAUGGAUGGACCCGCGUCGCAUUAGCUAGUUGGUGAGGUAACGGCUCACCAAGGCAACGAUGCGUAGCCGACCUGAGAGGGUGAUCGGCCACACUGGGACUGAGACACGGCCCAGAAUCCUGCGGGAGGCAGCAGUAGGGAAUCUUCCGCAACGGACGAAAGUCUGACGGAGCAACGCCGCGUGAGUGAUGAAGGCUUUCGGGUCGUAAAACUCUGUUGUUAGGGAAGAACAAGUGCUAGUUGAAUAAGCUGGCACCUUGACGGUACCUAACCAGAAAGCCACGGCUAACUACGUGCCAGCAGCCGCAGUAA
rnacentral:rRNA from 1 species